UACAGAGGUCCCAAGCGUUGUUCGGAUUUACUGGGCGUAAAGGGUGCGUAGGAGGUCUGGAAAGUCGGGUGUGAAAUCCCACCGCUCAACGGUGGAAUGGCGCUCGAUACUUCCAGACUCGAGGACCGGAGGGGAGAACGGAAUUCCUGGUGUAGCGGUGAAAUGCGUAGAUAUCAGGAGGAACACCAACGGCGAAGGCAGUUCUCUGGAAGGUACCUGACUCUGAGGCACGAAGGCCAGGGGAGCAAAC
rnacentral:rRNA from 1 species